UAAAAGUAUCUGGUAAUUGGUUCCAGGCACUCCAAAUUUCCUGUUCGUAGUGAAACUUCUCUUGAUUCUCCAAGUGGCACCUGUCCAGAUUCUCAAGCUUUGACCUCAAGUCGACAAACAUCUGAGCCCAGAUGCUGUCUUGAAAUUCUAUUUUAGCAGAAUUACCUGGGAAUGUCUAAAAGUGAUUUGGAACCAGAGAAGCAAAGUGCCCUUCAGAGCUGUCCUGAGAAUGAAGCCUAAUCUGGAAUGUCCAAGAAAAGAUAUCUAGAGACCAGAUGAUUACAUGGGAUAUCUGAGACUCAAAAAAAAAAAGAAAGAAAGAAAAGAAAAGAAAUAAUUAAAUGGACAUUAGGAGUGGUUAUUACAAGAAGACUUGAUAUUAUUUAAUAUUGAUGAUCAUCUUAACUAAUGACAUAGAUUAUGCUGAUCAGAAACCCAGUAAGAUCUGAAGAUUGAUGCAAGUUUUCCCAAAAUUAUACGUCCUAAGCAGCCCAUGUCUUAUCUGAAAACUGGUACAUACUGAUCAUCAGUUAUUGUGUCCAUAUUCCUUUGAUUAUUUACAGAGACUUAGUGGGAGUGGGACACCCCUUUUUCUGAUUUCAGGGUUUUAUUCACUCUCCUCCAACUUGUAAAGUCUCUAAUUAGAAAUCAGAUUAUCUAAUUUUAUCCUGGAUUUAUCCUAUUAAAUUGUCUUCUUUUAAUUAA